rnacentral:rRNA from 1 species
ACGAUGAAGCCCUUCGGGGUGGAUUAGUGGCGAACGGGUGAGUAACACGUGGGCAAUCUGCCCUGCACUCUGGGACAAGCCCUGGAAACGGGGUCUAAUACCGGAUAUCACUCUUGCAGGCAUCUGUGAGGGUUAAAAGCUCCGGCGGUGCAGGAUGGGCCCGCGGCCUAUCAGCUUGUUGGUGAGGUAAUGGCUCACCAAGGCGACGACGGGUAGCCGGCCUGAGAGGGCGACCGGCCACACUGGGACUGAGACACGGCCCAGACUCCUACGGGAGGCAGCAGUGGGGAAUAUUGCACAAUGGGCGAAAGCCUGAUGCAGCGACGCCGCGUGAGGGAUGACGGCCUUCGGGUUGUAAACCUCUUUCAGCAGGGAAGAAGCGAAAGUGACGGUACCUGCAGAAGAAGCGCCGGCUAACUACGUGCCAGCAGCCGCGGUAAUACGUAGGGCGCAAGCGUUGUCCGGAAUUAUUGGGCGUAAAGAGCUCGUAGGCGGCUUGUCACGUCGGGUGUGAAAGCCCGGGGCUUAACCCCGGGUCUGCAUUCGAUACGGGCUAGCUAGAGUGUGGUAGGGGAGAUCGGAAUUCCUGGUGUAGCGGUGAAAUGCGCAGAUAUCAGGAGGAACACCGGUGGCGAAGGCGGAUCUCUGGGCCAUUACUGACGCUGAGGAGCGAAAGCGUGGGGAGCGAACAGGAUUAGAUACCCUGGUAGUCCACGCCGUAAACGGUGGGAACUAGGUGUUGGCGACAUUCCACGUCGUCGGUGCCGCAGCUAACGCAUUA